rnacentral:lncRNA from 1 species
GAGCUGUGAUUCCAAUAAAGGACGGCUUCCAAAGCCUUCUUCACCCAUGCGACGCCAGAAGUGAGGCAAUGCACACAUACUCAAGCUAGAAGUUUUAUUAUUUUUAAUUAGCAUCCAGAAAAAAACAGCUCCAUGUAUCCUUUCUUAUGAAGCCAUUCAUUGCACAUGUAAUUUUUUUUUAUUUUUUAUUUAGUAAAUAUAAAUUUUCAAUGUACAGUUAAUGGAUUACAAUGGCUCCCCCCCAUAAUUUCCCUCCCACUCGCACCCCUCCCAUCUCCCGCUCCCUCUCCCAUUCCAUUCACAUCAAGAUUCAUUUUCAAUUAUCUUUAUAUACAGAAGAUCAAUUCAGUAUAUAUUAAGUAAAGAUUUCAUCAGUUUGCACCUACAUGUAAUUGUUUUGAAAACAAACUAUUUUUAGAAUAGUUUCAGAUUUAGAAAGCCUGGAGCACGGGCACAGUAACUCCCAUACAGCCUACACCCCGUACACCAUUCAUGACAUCUAGCAUCAAUAGGGUAAGUUUGUUCCAAUUAUCAAACAAUUUAAGUAUAUUAACAAAAGGCCAUAAGUCACUUUUUUCCCAAGUACAUUAUUUAGAAUUAGCAGAACUGUAAGCAAGACUCAACGUUACCUCUUAUGGCUCAAGUCAUCUUGGGAAGAGAGAAGGCGGCUAAAUUUUAGUUGACUCAUCUUUCAAGUAGAAAUAAUAAAAUACUGAUAUCGUGGUAACAUGUUGGUCAAUUUGAAGAGUGCUCCACACCUAACACUUGUUCCCUCACCUAGGGCUGGUAAAGGACAAACUAUCUCUGUUAAGGCUACAAAAUCAAUAAAGGAAAAUGUGGCUUUUAUCUGUGUGCAAACAGCUAAGGAAUCCUGAAUUCCUGCACAACACAGAUUUACACCACAAGGCCACUAGCCAGACAGAGAAUGCACUCUUCUGUCACCAGCUACAUCUCAAGUGCUGUCGGUUGAGAAACAGAAAAUGAACAGCACAAAUUAUCUUAACUACCAGGGAAACUGCUAGUGGACCACAGUUUUGAGUCUCUGAGGGCUGGGCUCUGUUCCAUGCGAUUAAGGCAAUGAGCUCUAUGGUCACUGGUAUAAAAGAAAAGCCUGAACACUCAGAAUAGAAGGGUGUUAGAAUGAACUUCUGCCUCUGCUUCAACUGAGGGGCUGGUAAGUAUCAGAUACCAAAGUGAGUGAGAUGGAUACCCCCCUCCCAUUUAGUGCAUGGAAGAGGAAGUGUUUCCAAGGAUCUGUCCUGUAAGAGAUGAGACUGGGGAGGAAACAUAGUUUUAGAGACAGAGGAUGAGUGCAGUGGAUAUUAUUUGUAUCCCCCUCAGAGUCCCUGGACCAGUUGCAACCUCUCCCUUCCCCACGACCCCCUCCAGUUCCUGAGAGGUUUGUCUCCUAAUAACUCUAAGCUGCUCUUUUCUUUGGAGAAUUGUUCUUAGACAACCUUGGGCAGCAAACCAUGGCCCAACUAGUGAGGGAAGCAGCUUAGCCCCUUGUCUCUUGGUGGGACUCUUGUCAUGCAUUUUGGGUUGCAGAAUUUUCCCUGUGUAAGCUGAAGCUAGUCACCAGCUGAGGUCACAUUCUCGACUGGUUUUCACCUAACCCCGAGCUUUGUCCUUUUCUUCAUUCUUCUAGCGAGAACAGCUCCUCAAAAAGGUCACUUAAACAACAGUCCCUCGUACGAGUGAACUAGACAUUGGCAGUGUAUCUUGAAGAUAGAGACUUCAAGGCAUCUACAGGGAGAGCUUUGAAGUGCUCCCUGCAACCGAGAAAAAAAAAUGACUAACUUUCACACAAGUUUGAGCAUGGUUAAGUGCUCUGCAAAUGGUGUCUGACUUUCCUUGAAGGUCUGGAACUAGGAAGGAGCUGUUGCACAGAGAUGGGCCUCCCAUAUGGGAAAUGUCUCCCAGAUGGUGGGAAGCAACGAAUCUAUGAGUGUCUCAUAGACCAGUGUGGACCAAGAAUGAGAAC